GAAAACUUCUCGGUAGCUUAUUUUCGGAGCCCAUGUCGUUGGUACCCGGAAGCACCAUAAGAGACGCUUCCCGAGAUGCCAUUUCCCGUAUCGCCCCCCUCCCCUGCCUCUUCUCCCGAGCGACGGUGCCAUGACCAUGCAGCUCCCCUGCCCCUAUAGACCCAAGCCUCCACGCCAGGAUGGGACCGCCGGCGAGCAUCCUCCGGUGAAUAUACAUCACCGGAGCAUCUCCCCCGCUGGAGGAUACCCCCCCUGCACCACCCUCGUCCUGCUCCGCCUGCACAAAUUCACUUCGAUCUGCUCUGCCCUGGCCCAAGGCAUCUUCGCCCUGCACAGAUUCACUUCGAUCUGCUCUGCCCUGCACCAAUUCACUUCGAUCUGCUCUGUCCUGCCCCAAGGCAUCUUCGAUCUGCUCCGCCCCUUCUUCUCCCGUGUACUGCUGCUAGCUCCAGAUUUAUGCACUAGCCAGUUUGUUGGGAAUUUCAUGUGUAUGUACAACUCCAGAUUUUUUAUGCGUCCGCUCUAAUGCUCUGAGCUUCUGAUGCAUCGUGCUGAUGCAAUGUGCACAACUGAUUUUUGCUUUGUGCAUUUUUGGGGAAUGUCUAGCUGUUAAACUUGUCAUUAUGUAAUGCUAGACUUUAAAAAUAUAUAAUACUCCCUCUGUCCAACAAAGAAUGUCUCAAGUUUGAUAAAAUUUAAAUGUAUCCA